AGCAGGAUUUAGCAGUUCUGGAAACAAAUUACAACUGUUCAUGCAGAGCACUCAAAAAUUCGGAUACCCCAAGAAUACGAGCUACUGAGUGUUGGUGAAGUUAUAAAGUUUCAGAGUUGCCAAAAGCAAGAAAUAUUAGAAAUGUUGUAAAGGAUGAGGGGAUUGAAGCGACCUUAUCCCUUUCUAGACUACCUGAAAAGGGGUUGUAGCAAGGGAGGGUCGGUCUCUUCUCCCAAGUUACAAGCGAUAGGACAAGAGGCAAUGGCCUCAAGCUGUGCCAGAGGAGGUUCAGACUGGAUAUUGGGAAACAUUUCUUCACCAAAAGGGUCAUCAAGCACUGGAAGAGGCUGCCUGAGGAAGUGGUUUUGUCACCAUCCUGGGACGUUUUUGUAAGAUGUGUAGAUGUGGCACUUGGGACGUGUUUUAGGGGUGGAUGUGGCAGGACUGGGUUAAAGGUUGAACUCAAUGAUCUUAAAGGUCUUUUCCAACCUAAAUGAUUGUAUUAUUCCUAUUGUCCUCUGCUGCCUGUUUUUUUUCUCUUUUUGUUUUUCUUUUUCAGAUGCUUAGCACGGUUUUUAAAGACACCUCUACAUUGAAGUAUAUCUCUCAAUUGACUUGAAAUAAGAAGGCUGAGAAGCUUAAAUCCAAAGAAUAAGAACUAAUAAGAUGUUACGUUGGGAAAAAGUCCUGAAAUCCGUUCUUGGUAUGCUGUGUUGCCUAUUUUUUAGUGUCUGUGAGAAGCUGCCUGGUGGAAUGAAUCCUUCCAACCAAGCCAUGGAAGUGAACAACACGAGGCAAAGCAAACAAUCUGCAGUCUGGCUUGUCCUCUACUACAAGUGCCUUUCCGGAGAAAUAUCACCAUGAUUUUUCUCAGUCCAGAACCUCAUAUUUGAAUUCCUUUUACAUAAUUUUGUGCCUUUUUUUUUUUUUUUUCCUUCCUAGAGGGGGACAGAAUGUCAAGGUCCCGAGCUACGCUUGUUCUUUUCAUUGCAAGAGAGGUGCAAGGAAAAAGUGGAGCUCAGUUUGAAGUUACCGUUUCUUUUUAAUUGAUCUGCAUUUCUUCAUGGCCAUGAAAGAGCUCCAUUCACUGCUGUGUCCUGUUCUUGCUGGGUGUGGAUGGAGCUUGCUGCUCUUACACUUUUCCUCUGUUGUUCAAAUCUAACUCUAAACUUUUCAGCACAUGAGAGCACAGAGAUAACAAACCCCCAAAUGUUACAUGAGAAUGUCACAACUUGGGAAACAGAGGCAUGGAUUUAAAAAUUACUUGCAUGGCAGAAAAAUUAAACAACUGUUACUCUGAGAGGCAGCUAGAAAA